rnacentral:rRNA from 1 species
AGUGAACGCUGGCGGUAGGCCUAACACAUGCAAGUCGAACGGCAGCACAGUAAGAGCUUGCUCUUACGGGUGGCGAGUGGCGGACGUGUGAGGAAUACAUCGGAAUCUACUUUUUCGUGGGGGAUAACGUAGGGAAACUUACGCUAAUACCGCAUACGACCUACGGGUGAAAGCAGUGGAUCUUCUGACCUUUCGCGACUGAAUGAGCCGAUGUCGGAUUAGCUAGUUGGCGGGGUAAAGGCCCACCAAGGCGACGAUCCGUAGCUGGUCUGAGAGGAUGAUCAGCCACACUGGAACUGAGACACGGUCCAGACUCCUACGGGAGGCAGCAGUGGGGAAUAUUGGACAAAGGGCGCAAGCCUGAUCCAGCCAUACCGCGUGGGUGAAGAAGGCCUUCGGGUUGUAAAGCCCUUUUGUUGGGAAAGAAAAGCAGCAGGUUAAUACCCCGCUGUUCUGACGGUACCCAAAGAAUAAGCACCGGCUAACUUCGUG